UACGUAGGGCACAAGCGUUAUCCGGAAUUACUGGGCGUAAAGCGUGCGCAGGCGGUUUUGUAAGUCUGACGUGAAAUCCCCGGGCUCAACCUGGGAAUUGCGUUGGAGACUGCAAGGCUAGAAUCUGGCAGAGGGGGGUAGAAUUCCACGUGUAGCAGUGAAAUGCGUAGAGAUGUGGAGGAACACCGAUGGCGAAGGCAGCCCCCUGGGUCAAGAUUGACGCUCAUGCACGAAAGCGUGGGGAGCAAACAGG
rnacentral:rRNA from 1 species